GGAGGAAUACCCAAGUCCGGCUGAAGGGAUCGGUCUUGAAAACCGACAGCGCCUUAACGGGCCGCGGGGGUUCGAAUCCCUCUUCCUCCGCCA
rnacentral:tRNA from 1 species